GGCUUUAAAUGUCAACACUGUAAACCAGUUUCAAAUGACACCCAAGGAAUGAAUAAGGACAAUGGAACCUUGUUCAGUGCACAAGACUGAUUGACAGAAGCAAUUCAUCUGCAAGCUUAACGGUUUGUGAUGUCAACAUGUCUCCUUUCAUGGAAUUACAACUUGUAGCCUUAUACCUUACCUCUGGAAAGAUGGCACAACAGCACACAUCCAGGACAACAUUUACAAAAUGAGUAUGUAUUGAAAAUGGUGUAAUAUACAAUAACAAGCCUGCUUUCAGGAGCUUGAAAGUACAAGGAAUAUUUACUACAAAGGAAGUAAUCCAGAGAUAAUCCUACCAAGUCAUUUUACUGGAUAUUUACUGGACAACUUCAGCUGUUGCUGCUGUUAUCCCCAGAACAAAUUUGCUUUUCUUUGAUGCAGCAUCAGUGGCAAUGGCACUAAAACAAACACUCAGGGUCUUUGCUGUGUCUGGUCUCAGGCCUGGUGUGCUGAGCUAUCUUGAUGACAUUGCUAUCUUGCAUCAACCUGAGAAACUGAAUAAUUUUCCAUCUAUGUAUUAUCUAUUCCCUGAAGAGCGAAAUCCACCUAGCUCAAUGCACAUCUAAAGUAUUCAAGCUACAGUAACUGCCUUGGAAGACAGCUUCUUUCAAGUUAUCUUGGAAGAAGCAGGAGAUCCUAUACAUAAUUACAACAGAAGAGUCAAGCCAUUCUGUCUUCACUGCAUUAAAGAAAUGGAGAUACACACCUUAAGUAAUGUGUUAAAUUAUGCUUCAAGGAUAUCCAGCCUUUUCUAAAAAAAACAAACUUUGCUAGAUGAUAUCAGAGCUAAUGUACAGGAGACUACCACUCUAGUGUCCUCUAUAUUACAUAUCUUCUGCCUCUCUAUUUCUUGAUGUGUGUUUGCUCUAAGUACUAAAGGCCUUUCCCUACAUGCAACUAAGAUGGGAAAAAUACACCCUGGCUGCAUCCCCAUGACAUUGUCUUCAUCUCAUCUUCAGCCUGUAUCUGAGGCAGCGCAAAGAAGUCCUUAGUUGUCCUGCUAUCAGCAGCUGUAUCAAGGAGGGCCUAAUCUGAUGUGCUUUGUUACCCAACCUGUUGGUGGCACAGGAAGGUGACCCAUAGAGAAUGAGAUCAGUCUGGUGCCUACUGGCCAUUUCAGACUAUAGUGGUGCAAGCGUACCUCUUCCUGUGAGAACCUGGGCAUGUCCCCUCCAGGCUGUUCUGCGGGCUGGUGAGUGCAAGGUAAGGAUAAGCAGAUGAAUUUUGCUUCAGUGUGGAUUUUUAUUUUAGUGUGGAAAACCUGGUUUAUCUAUAGACAUAUGAAAAGAAGCUUUGUAUAAAAAGCUAUAACACGUUAACAAUACAUCAACAUUGUAUAGCAAUGUUCAUUCUAGGUGGGUUGCACUGGAAAUUCAACUUUCCUCAAACUUGAAAAUUAUCCUGUUUUCUGUGUACCAUACACUACAACAUUUUUUAUUUAAUGGCUUUGAAUCCAUUCUUCCAUUACAG